AACGAACGCUGGCGGCAGGCCUAACACAUGCAAGUCGAGCGAAGCCUUCGGGCUUAGCGGCGGACGGGUGAGUAACGCGUGGGAACGUGCCCUUUGGUACGGAAUAGCCCCGGGAAACUGGGAGUAAUACCGUAUGUGGUCGAGAGACGAAAGAUUUAUCGCCAAAGGAGCGGCCCGCGUUGGAGUAGGUAGUUGGGGGGGUAAUGGCCUACCAAGCCGACGAUCCAUAGCUGGUUUGAGAGGAUGAUCAGCCAAACUGGGACUGAGACACGGCCCAGACUCCUACGGGAGGCAGCAGUGGGGAAUCUUAGACAAUGGGGGAAACCCUGAUCUAGCCAUGCCGCGUGAUCGAUGAAGGCCUUAGGGUUGUAAAGAUCUUUCAGUGGGGAAGAUAAUGACUGUACCCACAGAAGAAGCCCCGGCUAACUCCGUGCCAGCAGCCGCGGUAAAAC
rnacentral:rRNA from 1 species